GGAUUCCCGUCGAGUAGGAACUAGCCAUUCGCUCGUAGCGAGUCUUGGAGGGCUAAAGGUAACUUUAGUCUUUAAGCGUAGACAGUUAGGUGUUUCUUGGCAACUUAAUCUGCCAAGCUAAAAUGUGAGAGAGAA
rfam:Bacillus sp. FJAT-27997 Scaffold1, whole genome shotgun sequence.